rnacentral:rRNA from 1 species
UAACGAAUCUUUCGCAAUGGACGAAAGUCUGACGGAGCAAUGCCGCGUGUGGGAUGAAGCGUCUCUGACGUGUAAACCACUGUCAGGGGGUAGAACCAAUGAUCACCCCCAAAGGAAGUGGCGACUAACUCUGUGCCAGCAGUCGCGGUAAUACAGAGGCCACAAGCGUUAGUCGGAAUCACUGGGCUUAAAGGGUGCGUAGGUGGGCUUGUAAGCGUCCUGUGAAAUACCUCAGCUCAACUGAGGAACAGCAGGGCGAACUACAAGUCUUGAGGCAGGUAGGGGCUGGAAGAACAGUAGGUGGAGCGGUGAAAUGCGUAGAGAUCUACUGGAAUGCCGAUGGGGAAGCCAUCCAGCUGGGCCUGUCCUGACACUGAGGCACGAAAGCGUGGGGAGCAAA